AACAGUAAAUUUACCGUAAAGUAACAGUUUUCUUUAUUGACGCAGUAAAUAUAUUGCAACAGAAUAGUCGAAUGUGGAUCAAUCGAGAUAAUCGAGAUGCUUAAAUGUUUAGAGAUCGUUUAGAAGUCAACUAUGGUUAACUUGAAUAAGAAAUCGAACCCGAGACCACAGUCAAAUUCUCACGGUUUGCUGGUCCUGUUAUGGUGAUAUGUGUAUUAUAUUGUAGAGACAAUAAAUUUAUCGCAAAGUGACAGUUUUCUUCAUUGACGCAGUAAAUAUAUUGCAACAGAAUAGUCGAAUAGAGAUUAAUCGAGAUAAUCGAGUUGUUUAAAUGUUUAGAGAUCGUUUGUAAAAUAUGACUUAACUAUGUUUAACUUGGAUACCAAAUCGCGUUGAUCACCAACCAUCCUACUCAUUUACUAUCUUUGACAAACCAACGCCAACAUUGGUCGCAUUCAGCGGACGUAGCAAAGCGCUCCCUUUAGGUAGCGCUGCCGCUUCCGUUUUUGACAGAAAUAGAGGUUAUUGUGUAUUAUAUUUUACCUACUAAAGCAAUUAGCCGAAAUGGACGUUAUAAACAUUUUACUUGACAACCAAAUGACCCAGGCUGAUAUAAAUAUAAAUAUGGUUGGUCAAAUGGCUUCGGAACUUGAGAAGCCCAUUCGAUUAUUUGAGGAUCAUGAAGGUGGUAGGUGGCCAAUACCAAGAAAUAAAAAGUAUUAUGAAAAGACUAUAGGGAGUUAUGAAGGAAACUUAUUCUUAGAACAUUUUCGUAUGACGAGGCCUACAUUUGAGAAUUUACUACAACGUCUAGCACAUAUCAGAGCAGAAAGACAUUCCAUGUGUCUUGAAAAAAAAGUUUUAUUUACAAUAUGGGUACUGGCUAAGCCCGAGUCAUUUUUAGCUGCAGGAGAUCGAUUUGGAUUAGCAAGAA